AUUUUUGCUUGCUAUGUGUAGACGUCAAUAUCUGGGUAAAUUGGACUUGGAGAAAUUUUUCGCCGUAGAGGCGUUUAAUCCGAAAAAAGCCCCGAAGGAACUUUGGAUGGCGAAAACUUCUGACUGGCAAUCUGCGCCGCUUAUCAGGCGGGAAUAAAGUUGGUCCCGAUCUCGAUUCCGAUGCAAGCGGAACGAUUAUUCAACGGUCACCAUCUGUAAUGGUCACAGGAUCUUUCCCAGCUCGACGGUCAGCUUGGUGCGAAAAUCUUAGCAAAGAUUUAAACAGUACAUGGGAAAGAAGGCUGCAACACUCAAACAUGAAUCAUUACCAUCGUCAAAGGAGCCGUUUUACAAUAAAUUUAUUAAUACUUGUAGAAAACUUGAGACAUCAAUAAAUCGGUUAUGUUGUA